GCGCUCGUGGUGAAAUUGGUAGACACGCUGUCUUCAGGCGGCAGUGCCGUAAGGUGUGGAGGUUCGAAUCCUCUCGAGCGCA
rnacentral:tRNA from 2 species